rnacentral:rRNA from 1 species
GGGUUGUGAGGUUAAGCGACUAAGCGUACACGGUGGAUGCCCUGGCAGUCAGAGGCGAUGAAGGACGUGCUAAUCUGCGAUAAGCGUCGGUAAGGUGAUAUGAACCGUUAUAACCGGCGAUUUCCGAAUGGGGAAACCCAGUGUGUUUCGACACACUAUCAUUAACUGAAUCCAUAGGUUAAUGAGGCGAACCGGGGGAACUGAAACAUCUAAGUACCCCGAGGAAAAGAAAUCAACCGAGAUUCCCCCAGUAGCGGCGAGCGAACGGGGAGCAGCCCAGAGCCUGAAUCAGUGUGUGUGUUAGUGGAAGCGUCUGGAAAGGCGCGCGAUACAGGGUGACAGCCCCGUACACAAAAAUGCACAUAUUGUGAGCUCGAUGAGUAGGGCGGGACACGUGGUAUCCUGUCUGAAUAUGGGGGGACCAUCCUCCAAGGCUAAAUACUCCUGACUGACCGAUAGUGAACCAGUACCGUGAGGGAAAGGCGAAAAGAACCCCGGCGAGGGGAGUGAAAAAGAACCUGAAACCGUGUACGUACAAGCAGUGGGAGCCUCUUUAUGGGGUGACUGCGUACCUUUUGUAUAAUGGGUCAGCGACUUAUAUUCUGUAGCAAGGUUAACCGAAUAGGGGAGCCGAAGGGAAACCGAGUCUUAACUGGGCGUUAAGUUGCAGGGUAUAGACCCGAAACCCGGUGAUCUAGCCAUGGGCAGGUUGAAGGUUGGGUAACACUAACUGGAGGACCGAACCGACUAAUGUUGAAAAAUUAGCGGAUGACUUGUGGCUGGGGGUGAAAGGCCAAUCAAACCGGGAGAUAGCUGGUUCUCCCCGAAAGCUAUUUAGGUAGCGCCUCGUGAAUUCAUCUCCGGGGGUAGAGCACUGUUUCGGCAAGGGGGUCAUCCCGACUUACCAACCCGAUGCAAACUGCGAAUACCGGAGAAUGUUAUCACGGGAGACACACGGCGGGUGCUAACGUCCGUCGUGAAGAGGGAAACAACCCAGACCGCCAGCUAAGGUCCCAAAGUCAUGGUUAAGUGGGAAACGAUGUGGGAAGGCCCAGACAGCCAGGAUGUUGGCUUAGAAGCAGCCAUCAUUUAAAGAAAGCGUAAUAGCUCACUGGUCGAGUCGGCCUGCGCGGAAGAUGUAACGGGGCUAAACCAUGCACCGAAGCUGCGGCAGCGACGCUUAUGCGUUGUUGGGUAGGGGAGCGUUCUGUAAGCCUGUGAAGGUGUGCUGUGAGGCAUGCUGGAGGUAUCAGAAGUGCGAAUGCUGACAUAAGUAACGAUAAAGCGGGUGAAAAGCCCGCUCGCCGGAAGACCAAGGGUUCCUGUCCAACGUUAAUCGGGGCAGGGUGAGUCGACCCCUAAGGCGAGGCCGAAAGGCGUAGUCGAUGGGAAACAGGUUAAUAUUCCUGUACUUGGUGUUACUGCGAAGGGGGGACGGAGAAGGCUAUGUUGGCCGGGCGACGGUUGUCCCGGUUUAAGCGUGUAGGCUGGUUUUCCAGGCAAAUCCGGAAAAUCAAGGCUGAGGCGUGAUGACGAGGCACUACGGUGCUGAAGCAACAAAUGCCCUGCUUCCAGGAAAAGCCUCUAAGCAUCAGGUAACAUCAAAUCGUACCCCAAACCGACACAGGUGGUCAGGUAGAGAAUACCAAGGCGCUUGAGAGAACUCGGGUGAAGGAACUAGGCAAAAUGGUGCCGUAACUUCGGGAGAAGGCACGCUGAUAUGUAGGUGAAGUCCCUCGCGGAUGGAGCUGAAAUCAGUCGAAGAUACCAGCUGGCUGCAACUGUUUAUUAAAAACACAGCACUGUGCAAACACGAAAGUGGACGUAUACGGUGUGACGCCUGCCCGGUGCCGGAAGGUUAAUUGAUGGGGUUAGCGGUAACGCGAAGCUCUUGAUCGAAGCCCCGGUAAACGGCGGCCGUAACUAUAACGGUCCUAAGGUAGCGAAAUUCCUUGUCGGGUAAGUUCCGACCUGCACGAAUGGCGUAAUGAUGGCCAGGCUGUCUCCACCCGAGACUCAGUGAAAUUGAACUCGCUGUGAAGAUGCAGUGUACCCGCGGCAAGACGGAAAGACCCCGUGAACCUUUACUAUAGCUUGACACUGAACAUUGAGCCUUGAUGUGUAGGAUAGGUGGGAGGCUUUGAAGUGUGGACGCCAGUCUGCAUGGAGCCGACCUUGAAAUACCACCCUUUAAUGUUUGAUGUUCUAACGUUGACCCGUAAUCCGGGUUGCGGACAGUGUCUGGUGGGUAGUUUGACUGGGGCGGUCUCCUCCUAAAGAGUAACGGAGGAGCACGAAGGUUGGCUAAUCCUGGUCGGACAUCAGGAGGUUAGUGCAAUGGCAUAAGCCAGCUUGACUGCGAGCGUGACGGCGCGAGCAGGUGCGAAAGCAGGUCAUAGUGAUCCGGUGGUUCUGAAUGGAAGGGCCAUCGCUCAACGGAUAAAAGGUACUCCGGGGAUAACAGGCUGAUACCGCCCAAGAGUUCAUAUCGACGGCGGUGUUUGGCACCUCGAUGUCGGCUCAUCACAUCCUGGGGCUGAAGUAGGUCCCAAGGGUAUGGCUGUUCGCCAUUUAAAGUGGUACGCGAGCUGGGUUUAGAACGUCGUGAGACAGUUCGGUCCCUAUCUGCCGUGGGCGCUGGAGAACUGAGGGGGGCUGCUCCUAGUACGAGAGGACCGGAGUGGACGCAUCACUGGUGUUCGGGUUGUCAUGCCAAUGGCACUGCCCGGUAGCUAAAUGCGGAAGAGAUAAGUGCUGAAAGCAUCUAAGCACGAAACUUGCCCCGAGAUGAGUUCUCCCUGACUCCUUGAGAGUCCUGAAGGAACGUUGAAGACGACGACGUUGAUAGGCCGGGUGUGUAAGCGCAGCGAUGCGUUGAGCUAACCGGUACUAAUGAACCGUGAGGCUUAACCUUACAACGCCGAAG